AAUGAACGCUGGCGGCAUGCCUUACACAUGCAAGUCGAACGGCAGCAUGACCUAGCUUGCUAGGUUGAUGGCGAGUGGCGAACGGGUGAGUAAUGCAUCGGAACGUGCCUUUUAGUGGGGGAUAACGUAGCGAAAGUUACGCUAAUACCGCAUAUUCUCUGAGGAGGAAAGCAGGGGACCUUCGGGCCUUGCGCUAGAAGAGCGGCCGAUGUCGGAUUAGCUAGUUGGUGAGGUAAAGGCUCACCAAGGCAACGAUCCGUAGCGGGUCUGAGAGGAUGAUCCGCCACACUGGGACUGAGACACGGCCCAGACUCCUACGGGAGGCAGCAGUGGGGAAUUUUGGUCAAUGGGCGCAAGCCUGAUCCAGCCAUGCCGCGUGAGUGAAGAAGGCCUUCGGGUUGUAAAGCUCUUUCGGCUGGGAAGAAAUCGCACCCUCUAAUACAGGGUGUGGAUGACGGUACCAGCAUAAGAAGCACCGGCUAACUACGUG
rnacentral:rRNA from 1 species